UUGAACGCUGGCGGCAGGCCUAACACAUGCAAGUCGAACGGUAACAGGAAACAGCUUGCUGUUUCGCCGACGAGUGGCGGACGGGUGAGUAAUGUCUGGGAAACUGCCUGAUGGAGGGGGAUAACUACUGGAAACGGUAGCUAAUACCGCAUAACGUCGCAAGACCAAAGAGGGGGACCUUCGGGCCUCUUGCCAUCGGAUGUGCCCAGAUGGGAUUAGCUAGUAGGUGGGGUAACGGCUCACCUAGGCGACGAUCCCUAGCUGGUCUGAGAGGAUGACCAGCCACACUGGAACUGAGACACGGUCCAGACUCCUACGGGAGGCAGCAGUGGGGAAUAUUGCACAAUGGGCGCAAGCCUGAUGCAGCCAUGCCGCGUGUAUGAAGAAGGCCUUCGGGUUGUAAAGUACUUUCAGCGGGGAUGAAGGGAGUAAAGUUAAUACCUUUGCUCAUUGACGUUACCCGCAGAAGAAGCACCGGCUAACUCCGUG
rnacentral:rRNA from 1 species